rnacentral:rRNA from 1 species
UGGCAACGUUCUACUCUCCCACCACUAAGCGUGGCAGUACCAUCGACGCUGGAGGGCUUAACUUCUGUGUUCGGGAUGGUAACAGGUGUACCCCCUCCGCUGUAGUCACCA